CUAACUCCGGGAAACUGGAGAUAAUUCCGGAUAACGCACAUAUGCUGGAAUGCUUUAUGCGUAAAAUGGAUUCGUCUGCCCAAGGAUGGGUCUGCGGCCUAUCAGGUAGUAGUGGGUGUAAUGUACCUACUAGCCAACAACGGGUACGGGUUGUGAGAGCAAGAGCCCGGAGAUGGAUUCUGAGACAUGAAUCCAGGCCCUACGGGGCGCAGCAGGCGCGAAAACUUUACAAUGCGGGAAACCGUGAUAAGGGGACACCGAGUGCCAGCAUCAUAUGCUGGCUGUCCAGGUGUGUAAAAUACACCUGUUAGCAAGGGCCGGGCAAGACCGGUGCCAGCCGUCGCGGUAACACCGGCGGCCCGAGUGGUGAUCGUGAUUAUUGGGUCUAAAGGGUCCGUAGCCGGUUUGGUCAGUCCUCCGGGAAAUCUGAUAGCUCAACUAUUAGGCUUUCGGGGGAUACUGCCAGGCUUGGAACCGGGAGAGGUAAGAGGUACUACAGGGGUAGGAGUGAAAUCUUGUAAUCCCUGUGGGACCACCUGUGGCGAAGGCGUCUUACCAGAACGGGUUCGACGGUGAGGGACGAAAGCUGGGGGCACGAACCGGAUUAGAUACCCGGGUAGUCCCAGCCGUAAACGAUGCUCGCUAGGUGUCAGGCAUGGCGCGACCGUGUCUGGUGCCGCAGGGAAGCCGUGAAGCGAGCCACCUGGGAAGU
rnacentral:rRNA from 1 species